GUAGCUCAGUUGGUAGAAAGUUGGAUUCAUAAUCCAAGGGUUAUGGGUUCAAUGACCUCCAAAUCA